GACGAACCGUGCGAACGUUGUUCGGAAUCACUGGGCUUAAAGGGCGCGUAGGCGGGCCCACAAGUCCGGGGUGAAAUCUUUCGGCUUAACCGGAAAAGUGCCUUGGAUACUGGGGGCCUUGAGGGAGGCAGGGGCGGAUGGAACUUCCGGUGGAGCGGUGAAAUGCGUUGAUAUCGGAAGGAACGCCGGUGGCGAAAGCGAUCCGCUGGACCUCUUCUGACGCUGAGGCGCGAAAGCCAGGGGAGCAAAGCGG
rnacentral:rRNA from 1 species